AACAACAUUGAUAUGUUGACAACAUAUUAGAUACACGUAUACAAAUGAUUUGUGACAAAAUUAUCUUGCGUCUUAAUUGAACAAAAUGGGAAUAUAUUCAUAGAUAUAUUAUUUACAUGUUACAUGAGCACAUGGCACUAUUGAAAAUAGUUAACAGAUAGUUAACCAGAAGCACAGUAUAUUUAGUUUACCUGAAUAAAGAAUGCAAGUAUCUCCAUAUGUUUGAGAGUCGAACUGUACGAAUACGGUGGCACGGUGCUGUGUUGAACAUACUAUUCAAAUGCGGAGUCGAGUGAAAAUUCUUUGCAAAUAAACUUUAUUAAAUACACAAAGCCUGAAAGCCAUGCAGCUGACAGGGAUUAUUUUUUGCAGCGUCAUAUUAAGCCACAACAUUCAAACAUCUCCAUUUUAAUAAUAUUUUAAUUAUAAUUUUGCAACAUUCAAUUUAAUUAAAUAUUAAUGAUUUCUCAGUGUUGCUAGCCUGCGAGCAGGCGUUUAUUAACUCUGUGUCAUAGUCUGUGUCGUCGCGUUGCCGGCGCUGUUGCAUCAUGGAACUUGUCUCGCAACUUAUCUCGCAAUUUUGUUGCAAUACAAGUUACAUGCAAAAUUACAAGGUGUAACAUACCUCGCAAUCAUCAAGUCUCGCAACAUUUUUGUUGCAACAAGCAAGAAGAAAGAAAAAAAAGAAAGACUUUUCGCAACGACCACGGCAACGAAUUUUUAGAGCAUUCAUAGGCGUACGAGACGGGAGCCCAAAAUUUUGGAAAACCAUGGAAAUUCGGGCAAAUGCUAGGAAAAAUGAAGAAAAUUCGGGCAGAUUUAUCAGACAAUAGGUUAAAUUCAGGUAAUUUCACUACAAUCCUGAUAAAAAUUCGGACAAACUUUCAACUGCCCCCUGGAAAGCAUCAGCCCGGUACGCCUAUGAGAGUAUUGCACAGUGCAACAUCCCUCUUGCAACUAACUAGUCUCGCCAUGUCCAUACACUGAAUGGCUUCCUACUGGCUUUUGACUGACAAUCUGGCGCCAAACGUUAUAUACCAUUUUUGACUCACGGAUAUUGCGAAUGGUUACUUGAGUGUGUGACUACUGUGGCAGCUAAACAGUGGGAAAUAACCAGCCUGCUUUGCGCGCACAGCUGUUUACCUGCAAAUCGGGCCUUUCAGAACCGGAAAUCGGGCUGGAGCACGCGUUCGUUCUUUUGAUUUGGCAAAUGAAGCACAACAAAUGGGUGAAAUGGAAAAUUCGCACGGUGCCCGGUUUGCAAAAACAACUGCAAACUGCUCUAAUUCUUUC